rnacentral:sRNA from 1 species
AGAAAUGAAUAGAAAAUUGAUCUAUGAGAUUCCCGCUUCUUCUUGACUGUGGUGACUUGCAACUUCCUAGGAGCCAUAUCAAGAGGAAAAUGAGCAGAGCUCCCGCCACUAUGCCUGUCACUGCUCCUGCAACCAUGCCAAUGCUCUGCACAUCUGUUUCCUCGGAAGCACAGACAGAAGGAAAGUCAAACAGAAGCUCGGAGACACUCGAACUCCCAAGACAGAAGCCCCAGGCAGGAUGGCUCCCUGUGCCACACCCUGCUACCUUCUCAUAUUGUGACUUCACCUGGCCUUUCCAUAUUCUUGCAAGCCGAAGCUACUGAACCACUUGACUCGUUGGCUCAGAUUUUAGUGACUACGUCUGCCUUCGUGAUAAAAUGGCUGGGAAGAUUAUCGUGUCAUGUUCAAAGAAAAUUCCAACCCUCAGACCUCUGGGCACUGCUCUGCCCACUCCUUUCUCUAACUGCCCUUUUCUAUCAUCGGUAAAAGAAAAUAUAACCUACAGCCUACAAUUUGAUCUGUGACUGCUGGUGGCUCUGAGAGUCAGAGCUCAAGGUCAACAUUUUAUUUGCACAUAUACGUUCUCAUUUGGAUACAACACAUUCUAUAUAUUUAAGUGCCCACUUAAGCCAGCAGUUUUUGGUAUUGUAAGAGGCCAAUAGGAGCUCCUCUGAUUUCCAGUUUGCACCCCACGGGGCGGGGGGAAGGGAACAAUAAAGAACAGAUUCAAAUAA